UGAGAACUGGUGCUUGCACCGGUUCAAGGAGUUGCGAACGGGUGAGUAACGCGUAGGUAACCUACCUCAUAGCGGGGGAUAACUAUUGGAAACGAUAGCUAAUAUCGCAUAAGAGAGACUAACGCAUGUUAGUAAUUUAAAAGGGGCAAUUGCUCCACUAUGAGAUGGACCUGCGUUGUAUUAGCUAGUUGGUGAGGUAAAGGCUCACCAAGGCGACGAUACAUAGCCGACCUGAGAGGGUGAUCGGCCACACUGGGACUGAGACACGGCCCAGACUCCUACGGGAGGCAGCAGUAGGGAAUCUUCGGCAAUGGGGGCAACCCUGACCGAGCAACGCCGCGUGAGUGAAGAAGGUUUUCGGAUCGUAAAGCUCUGUUGUUAGAGAAGAAUGGUGGUGGGAGUGGAAAAUCCACCAAGUGACGGUAACUAACCAGAAAGGGACGGCUAACUACGUGCCAGCAGCCGCGGUAAUACGUAGGUCCCGAGCGUUGUCCGGAUUUAUUGGGCGUAAAGCGAGCGCAGGCGGUUUUUUAAGUCUGAAGUUAAAGGCAUUGGCUCAACCAAUGUACGCUUUGGAAACUGGAGAACUUGAGUGCAGAAGGGGAGAGUGGAAUUCCAUGUGUAGCGGUGAAAUGCGUAGAUAUAUGGAGGAACACCGGUGGCGAAAGCGGCUCUCUGGUCUGUAACUGACGCUGAGGCUCGAAAGCGUGGGGAG
rnacentral:rRNA from 1 species